rnacentral:lncRNA from 1 species
GUGUCAGAGAGCGCUAUUAUUCUUCAGAGGGUUAAUAAUGUCAGCAGCGCUUGCGUUCUCUUUUUAUUAUAUUGUUUUGUUAGAAAUACUCUUUACCAAAAGCUUUCAUAUUGCCUCUCUGAACAAGUUGCCACCUCGCUAACAUUAAUAUAAGUUUCAAAUAAAUGUUUAACUUGCUCUACCAUGUUGGCAUUAUUUCCGUGAAGUUGUUCUGGUUCAAAAUAGCAUUACUGUUUUUUUUUUGUAUGUGGCAACCUUAAAAUUGAAGCGAAAGCUUAUGAAAUAUCAUAUUUGCUACGAAAACUUUUCAGUAACGCAAGCGUCAUGUUUGAGUGACGACGACGACUAUUUGUAUCUACAUUUUUGUUGUAUUUUACUUAAGUUGCUUUAAAAAUAAAGCAGCACGCGUACUUGUUAUUCGUAAAUUUUGUUUCUUCAUAAAAAAAAACAAUACAUAUAUAUCUCAUCUUUAUUCGCUUAAGUUUUUGUACAAGUGUGUAAGAUAUGCAUACAUACUUAUGUAUAAUUUUGAAACAUUUUCGGUGUGUUCCAAACUUUUGAAUUUUUGGACGGCGGACACUCAGACAUCUCUAAGUACAUAUGUUCUCGCGUAACAACAAUCACGGUUUUAGUUUACCAAAUUACCGAGUUAAUGUUUUUACUGACCAGCACAGUAUUAAGUGAAAAUAAACUUUAUAUUUGUUAUAGACAUUUUCGGUCGAUUUUUAUACUCUUGCUACAUGUUGCUACAGAGUAAAAUAGUUUUGUUUACCUAACGGUUGUUCAUCAACGACCACACGUGUUCAAAUCCGGAUGUUUAACUCAUCGUCCGUCUAUCUGAGCAUGCUGUAACGAAAAUAAUGAAAAACGAUAUAAAAUGGAACAUGACUGCAACAAAAUUUAAAUAUUGGUUAAAACUGGGUUAUAUGUACCUGAUAGCUGAACUUUAAAAUGUUGGACAUAUGUAUGUGGCGAUAUAAUAAUUUCUGUUGAGUUGGUCUAGACUUUGGUCUUAAUCUCAUAUGUCUAUAUGUAUAUCCCUGGUUGACGUUUUACACAUCAAUUCAAUAUAUUAACACGUUCUACCCGGCGCAUUUUAUCUAUAGAUUUGUUUUAAAAAGAACUAUAAAAAAUAAAACGCCUACAACAAAUAUAAAUUAAUAAUUCCCCAAUCUAUUUUAUUUUAACACUAUAUCUCUUUGUAGUAUGGUGGUUAAUAGUAUUAAUAUUUGUGGACCCCCGGUGCCCGUGGACUAUAAGUGGUCCACGCCGGGUAGAACGUGUAGCCUCUUCGUUUAAGUUUAUUUCAGAUAUAUUUGAGGAUAAUUUAAUAUAAUAUUCUCUGAUAGGAAGUAAAAUAUGUAUAGUUUUAAAACUAAUUGAGUCUAUGAUCUGUAAUGUAACAUAAUGAAAUACCAAAUUGAAUUGUAAUUUAUUUACGAUUUCGUCGAAUAAUGAAUAAUGAGUUCUCAAAUUUUUUUAUAUGAAGUUUUGCCAACACCUGAGAGUAUUUCCGCGUCUUUGAUCGUUGCAAGAGUAUGUUCGGUUAGCCCGUCCUUACUUGUUAUUCAUGAUUGAUAUGCCCAACAAUCCUUUGAUAUCUUUAGGGAGCUCAGUUCAACCAACUUAAUUCAAUCAACAGCUAUCCAUUUUGUGAUUUUUGAAUACUUUCGUCCGUAACAGCUCUUUUUGGACGUCC